UAUACAUGCAAGUCGAACGAGAAAGUCACUUCGGUGGCGAGUACAGUGGCGCACGGGUGAGUAACGCGUAGAUGAUCUACCCUUCAGUCUGGGACAACUCUUGGAAACGGGAGCUAAUACCGGAUAAAACCUUCGGGUUGAAAGAUUUAUCGCUGGGGGAUGAGUCUGCGUACCAUUAGCUUGUUGGUGGGGUAACGGCCUACCAAGGCGACGAUGGUUAGCGGGUCUGAGAGGACGAUCCGCCACACUGGAACUGAGACACGGUCCAGACUCCUACGGGAGGCAGCAGUAGGGAAUAUUGCGCAAUGGGGGCAACCCUGACGCAGCAAUGCCGCGUGAGUGAAGAAGGCCUUCGGGUCGUAAAGCUCUUUUAUGGGGGAAGAUGAUGACGGUACCCCAUGAAUAAGCACCGGCUAACUACGUGCCAGCAGCCGCGGUAAUACGUAGGGUGCGAGCGUUGUUCGGAAUUACUGGGCGUAAAGGGCGUGCAGGCGGAUUGGCAAGCCGGAGGUGAAAGCCCGGGGCUCAACCCCGGAGGGUCUUUCGGAACUGCCAGUCUUGAGAGGGUCAGGGGCCAGCGGAAUUCCUGGUGUAGAGGUGAAAUUCGUAGAGAUCAGGAGGAACACCGGCGGCGAAAGCGGCUGGCUGGGGCCACUCUGACGCUGAGGCGCGAAAGCGUGGGGAGCAAACAGGAUUAGAUACCCUGGUAGUCCACGCCGUAAACGAUGGGCACUAAGCGUCCGACGGGUUCGACCCUGUUGGGUGCUGCAGUUAACGCGUUAAGUGCCCCGCC
rnacentral:rRNA from 1 species